rnacentral:rRNA from 1 species
CCUACGGGGUGCAGCAGUGGGGAAUAUUGGACAAUGGGCGAAAGCCUGAUCCAGCCAUGCCGCGUGUGUGAAGAAGGCCUUCGGGUUGUAAAGCACUUUCAGUGGGGAAGAAAGCCUUGGGGCUAAUACCCUCGAGGAAGGACAUCACCCACAGAAGAAGCACCGGCUAACUCCGUGCCAGCAGCCGCGGUAAUACGGAGGGUGCGAGCGUUAAUCGGAAUUACUGGGCGUAAAGCGCGCGUAGGCGGUCUGAUAAGCCGGUUGUGAAAGCCCCGGGCUCAACCUGGGAACGGCAUCGGAACUGUCAGGCUAGAGUGCAGGAGAGGAAGGUAGAAUUCCCGGUGUAGCGGUGAAAUGCGUAGAGAUCGGGAGGAAUACCAGUGGCGAAGGCGGCCUUCUGGACUGACACUGACGCUGAGGUGCGAAAGCGUGGGUAGCAAACAGGAUUAGAUACCCUAGUAGUC